GUGGCUAUCCCUGCUGUGUUCG
rnacentral:miRNA from 2 species